UACGGAGGAUGCAAGCGUUAUCCGGAAUGAUUGGGCGUAAAGGGUCCGCAGGCGGUUCGCUAAGACCGAUGUGAAAUCCCCGGGCUUAACCUGGGAACUGCAUUGGUGACUGGCGGGCUAGAGUAUGGCAGAGGGGGGUAGAAUUCCACGUGUAGCAGUGAAAUGCGUAGAGAUGUGGAGGAAUACCGAUGGCGAAGGCAGCCCCCUGGGCCAAUACUGACGCUCAUGCACGAAAGCGUGGGGAGCAAACAGG
rnacentral:rRNA from 1 species